rnacentral:misc_RNA from 1 species
GAUGGAGAACGCAGCGAAAUGCGAUAAGUAAUGUGAAUUGCAGAAUUCAGUGAAUCAUCGAAUCUUUGAACGCACCUUGCGCUCUUUGGUAUUCCGAAGAGCAUGCCUGUUUGAGUGUCAUGAAAAUAUCAACCUUGACUUGGGUUUUGUGCUCUAGUCUCGGCUUGGAAUUGGGUGCUUGCCGCUUUUACGAGCGGCUCACCUUAAAUGUAUUAGCUGGAUCUGUCUUUGAGACUUGGUUUGACUUGGCGUAAUAAGUAUUUCGCUAAGGACAUUCUUCGGAGUGGCCUCGUUUCUAGGACGCUUGUCCGCUUUCCAAUACAAGUUCCACCUCGUGGACAUGACUUUUUAUUAUCUGGCCUCAAAUCAGGUAGGACUACCCGCUGAACUUAAGCAUAUCAAUAAGCGGAGGA